ACAUGCAAGUCGAGCGAACGGACGAGAAGCUUGCUUCUCUGAUGUUAGCGGCGGACGGGUGAGUAACACGUGGAUAACCUACCUAUAAGACUGGGAUAACUUCGGGAAACCGGAGCUAAUACCGGAUAAUAUUUUGAACCGCAUGGUUCAAAAGUGAAAGACGGUCUUGCUGUCACUUAUAGAUGGAUCCGCGCUGCAUUAGCUAGUUGGUAAGGUAACGGCUUACCAAGGCAACGAUGCAUAGCCGACCUGAGAGGGUGAUCGGCCACACUGGAACUGAGACACGGUCCAGACUCCUACGGGAGGCAGCAGUAGGGAAUCUUCCGCAAUGGGCGAAAGCCUGACGGAGCAACGCCGCGUGAGUGAUGAAGGUCUUCGGAUCGUAAAACUCUGUUAUUAGGGAAGAACAUAUGUGUAAGUAACUGUGCACAUCUUGACGGUACCUAAUCAGAAAGCCACGGCUAACUACGUGCCAGCAGCCGCGGUAAUACGUAGGUGGCAAGCGUUAUCCGGAAUUAUUGGGCGUAAAGCGCGCGUAGGCGGUUUUUUAAGUCUGAUGUGAAAGCCCACGGCUCAACCGUGGAGGGUCAUUGGAAACUGGAAAACUUGAGUGCAGAAGAGGAAAGUGGAAUUCCAUGUGUAGCGGUGAAAUGCGCAGAGAUAUGGAGGAACACCAGUGGCGAAGGCGACUUUCUGGUCUGUAACUGACGCUGAUGUGCGAAAGCGUGGGGAUCAAACAGGAUUAGAUACCCUGGUAGUCCACGCCGUAAACGAUGAGUGCUAAGUGUUAGGGGGUUUCCGCCCCUUAGUGCUGCAGCUAACGCAUUAAGCACUCCGCCUGGGGAGUACGACCGCAAGGUUGAAACUCAAAGGAAUUGACGGGGACCCGCACAAGCGGUGGAGCAUGUGGUUUAAUUCGAAGCAACGCGAAGAACCUUACCAAAUCUUGACAUCCUU
rnacentral:rRNA from 1 species